CCUACGGGUGGCAGCAGUGAGGAAUAUUGGUCAAUGGACGCAAGUCUGAACCAGCCAUGCCGCGUGCAGGAAGACGGCUCUAUGAGUUGUAAACUGCUUUUGUACGAGGGUAAACGCAGAUACGCGUAUCUGUCUGAAAGUAUCGUACGAAUAAGGAUCGGCUAACUCCGUGCCAGCAGCCGCGGUAAUACGGAGGAUUCAAGCGUUAUCCGGAUUUAUUGGGUUUAAAGGGUGCGUAGGCGGUCUGAUAAGUUAGAGGUGAAAUCCCGAGGCUCAACUUCGGAAUUGCAUUUGAUACUGUUCUGCUAGAGAGUAGUGGCGGUAGGCGGAAUGUAUGGUGUAGCGGGGAAAUGCUUAGAGAUCAUGCAGAACACCGAUUGCGAAGGCAGCUCACCAAGCUACUUCUGACGUUGAGGCACGAAAGCGUGGGGAGCAAACAGGAUUAGAUACCCCAGUAGUC
rnacentral:rRNA from 1 species